AGCAGACACUGGAAAGAUGAGAAAGAGAUUGCUAGGCAAGGGGGUGGGCGAAGAGGCAUUUUGGGAGGGGAAGAAAAUAUAAAUAAAAUAAAGUUUUUUUCUUUUAGCUUGAGAAGAGAAGGGUAUGGUGCCUUCAAGGAACUGGAAGAAAACCAUUAUUGCUGGUGGAUUGUAUUGCUGCUUUUAAUGGAGCGAAUCCCCCCUCCCCACCAGAAACAGCAAAGAAACAGCAACUGGAAGAUAACAGAAUCAUGAAAGCAUGAUUGAAGAACAAAAAAAUGGGACAGCUGACACUUCCACUUCUGUUAAGAGUUCUUUGCCAGCCACAUUAUUGGGUAAAAUAUAAUACAAUAAUCAUCAUAAUGGUGGUAUUAUAUUCCACAAGAAAUCAGCUGAUAAAAUUUGGAGUUCUCAAAAAGAUUAUUUAAAAUAAGGAUUUGGGUCUACAGUCUUUAUGCUAAAUACAUGUUGUGCAUUGAGCUAUCUGAUAGUAUAUAUACACAUACAUAUAUUUUAUAUAAUUUUAAAAUAAAUAUGGACAUCUUGGGGGUGCAUACUCAAAUGUUUUUACUGUAAUAAGAAAUGUCUAGUAAUCACUGCUCUAGAGGAAGGAGCUCUAGGCUUGAAAUCAGAAAUCCCACAUAUAAGACCUAGGUCUGCCAGCUGCUAUCCAUGAGACCUUGGGGAAAUCAUUACAUAUUUCUGAACCCUGCAUAUGUCCCCAGGUUGUUCUGAAGAUGAUUUCUACAUAGAGGUGUAAGUAUAUUGAGAAUUGCAAAGAUCUGUGCACACACACAGUGUUACACUGUUCUUCUAUACUACUUCUUGACAUACUUUGGUAUGUCCUGACCGCAUAACACAGUAUCCCGCACAUGGAGAUAAUUAUAAUUCUAAGUAGUGUUUAUGAACAAUAGAGUCUUAUCACUGUUUAAAUGGCUUUCCAUAAUUAGAACAGAGUGGAAAUUCCAGUGUGCUUAUUUCAUUUUUCCCCUCUUAACACAGUUUCCACAAAUAAAUACUGUAAAGCAUGGUGUUCCUGCCAAGAUGUGAUAUCUUAGUCUUUGUCCCCAUUUUUGCAGAAGGUAAUCAGCUCUACUGACAGGGCAGAUGAAAAAACAGUGAAAUAAUAGAAAGUUUAAUUUGAAUGUGUAUGUAGAUUACCUGUAGACAUUUUGGAAGGCAUAGGUUGCUAGAGGUCAUCUCAAUUGUACAGGGAGGACUAUUGCAUUGUCAAGCUCCCAUGGCAACCUGGGCUUACUUCUGUGUAGUGCUUUCUACCAUGUCUGUGUAGUUGUACAUCUAUUUCUACUUCUGAGUUCUUUGAAGGCAAGGACUGGGUUUCAUUCAUUAUUUUUAAUCACUGUUGCCUGGCACAGUGCUUGACACUGCAGAAGGAAUGAUCAACCAAUACAUAUUUUAAUGCAUACUGUGAACCAAGGUCUAUGAUAGGCGUUGGAUUGAUUUAUAUAAAUUCCAGUUAUUUUUUAAAGGCAGAAAAUGAUAGUUGGGCUUGGGGAGAUGUCAGUGAAAGGGAAUAGGUGAUGGGCAGUAGUGAGACUGUUACGCAUUCUUUUUCCAAAGAGAAAGUGGAAGAUGGACUUUUGAUUGGAGAAAAAUCUUGGCAGGAAGAUCACCAUGGAGCGUAGAAGGGUGAGGAUACACCUAGGUGAGAGGAGACAUUGCCGUGAGUUUCUAUAUUUCUUUUGGCUUGGCAUCAAGUAGCGAUUACAUACCAACUCCUUUUAACUCUUCCCACCAUAAGUAACCCAGUUGUCCAAACAUUACUCAUUCACAUUCCCAAACCAACUACCAAAACAACAUUCCAGGAGAAGCAGGAGUUUUAAAGGUUGUGCGUUAUGACACCUCCAUCUUUUCUUUCUAAUAACAGGCUGCACAAAUAUAAACGUGUGAUUACAGGCAGGCUAUGGUUCAACUUUAAUUAAUCCGUUGGUUCUAUAGAUUAAGAAUAUGAUUCACAAAGUUUGUUCAUUAAAAAAUCCAUUAUAAGGAAAUUAUUUACCUGUGCUAUUUUUUUUUUUUGCUAUAAAGAAAUUUUCAUGCUCUUUAGUCCUCAGAGUACAAGCUUUUUUUGGAGCUGAAAAUACAGCAGAAACUGACCACACUAGAAAAAUAAAAAGCUAAAUGUUCAAUUGCUGUUUUUAAUUUUCAUUUUUUUUUAAAAGUCAGGUUUAUUGAGGUUUAAUGUGCAUAAAGUAAAAUUUACCUUUUUUUGGUGUAUAGUUCAAUUAAUUUUGACAAACAAAUUCAGUUGUACAAUGGCCACCAUAAACAAAACAGAGAAUAUGAGAAUACUUCCAUCAUUCCAAAAAAUCCUCUUGUACCUCUUUGUGGUAAACACACUCCCUUUACCCUCUGACAAUCUCUGAUCUGUUUUUAGCUCUCUAGUUUGACUUUUCCUUGAAUUUCAUAUCAAUGAGCUAUAACAUAUAGCCUUCUGAGUCUAGCAUCUUUCACUUAGCAUAAUGCUUUUGAAUUUCAAGAUGUAAUGUGGUCUGUUUCUUUUGUAGCAUUUCAUAUAUGGGUGUACCAUAUUUUUUUCCAUUCACUAGUUUAUGGGCAUUUGGGCUAUUUUCAGAUUUCAUGAUUAUGAAUAAAGCUGCUCUAAAUUUUCCUCAUAGGUCUUUAUGUAGAUAUUUUUAUUUCAGUUGGAUAAAUGUCUAUGAGUGAGAUUGCUAGAUUGUAUGUUAAGUCUAUGUUUAACACGAUGACAAACUGCCAAACUAUAAUUUUGCAUUCCCACUAGCAAUAUAUGAGGGUUCCAGUUGCUCAGAAUCCCUACUUGCACUUGGUAUUGUCCAUCAAAAAAUUUUUUUUGAGUCAUUCUAAUAGUUGUAUAGUGGUAUGUUUAGAAUUUGUAUUUCCCUAAUGUCUAAUGAUGUCAAGCAUCUUCUUUGUGUGCUUAUUUGCCAUUUGUAUCUCUUCUUUGAUAAAGUAUCAGUUCAAAUCUUUU
rnacentral:lncRNA from 10 species